CGACUAAGCCAUGCGAGUCAAUAGUUCUUCGUGAACUAGGCGGACGGCUCAGUAACACGUGGGUAAUCUACCCUCAGGACAGGGAUAACCCCGGGAAACUGGGGAUAAUACCUGAUAGGUGGAGAGGUCUGGAAUGAUCCUCCGCCCAAAGCUCCGGCGCCUGAGGAUGAGCCUGCGGCCGAUUAGGUUGUUGGCGGUGUAACGGACCACCAAGCCUGAGAUCGGUACGGGCACUGAGAGGUGGAGCCCGGAGAUGGGGGCUGAGAAACGGCCCCAGGCCCUACGGGGCGCAGCAGGCGCGAAAACUCCGCAAUACGCGAAAGCGUGACGGGGGGACCCCAAGUGUCAUGCCUUCGGGUAUGACUCUUGCAGAGUGUAAACAGCUCUGCGAAUAAGAGCUGGGUAAGACCGGUGCCAGCCGCCGCGGUAACACCGGCAGCUCAAGUGGUGGCCACUAUUAUUGGGCCUAAAGCGUCCGUAGCCUGCUCGGUAAGUCCUUGGGAAAAUCCGCUCGUUCCACGAACGGGACCCUGAGGAUACUGCCGAACUUGGGAACGAGAGAAGUCGGAAGUACUCCUGGGGUAGCGGUGAAAUGCUGUAAUCCUGGGGGGACUACCAGUGGCGAAGGCGUCCGACUAGAGCGGGUCCGACGGUGAGGGACGAAAGCCAGGGGAGCGAACGGGAUUAGAUA
rnacentral:rRNA from 1 species